UACGUAGGGCGCAAGCGUUUGUCCGGAAUUAUUGGGCGUAAAGAGCUCGUAGGCGGCGUGUCGCGUCGGUUGUGAAAGCCCGGGGGCUUAACUCCGGGUCUGCAGUCGAUACGGGCAUGCUUGAGUUCGGUAGGGGAGAUCGGAAUUUCCUGGUGUAGCGGUGAAAUGCGCAGAUAUCAGGAGGAACACCGGUGGCGAAGGCGGGGUCUCUGGGCCGAUACUGACGUGAGGAGCGAAAAGCGUGGGGGAGCGAAACAGG
rnacentral:rRNA from 1 species